rnacentral:rRNA from 1 species
CCUACGGGAGGCAGCAGUGGGGAAUAUUGCACAAUGGGGGAAACCCUGAUGCAGCGACGCCGCGUGAGUGAAGAAGUAUUUCGGGAUGUAAAGCUCUGUCAGCAGGGAAGAAAAUGACGGUACCUGACCAAGAAGCCCCGGCUAACUACGUGCCAGCAGCCGCGGUAAUACGUAGGGGGCAAGCGGUAUCCGGAUUUAUUGGGUGUAAAGGGGGCGUAGAUGGCAGGGCAAGUCUGGAGUGAAAGGCGGGGGCUUAACCCCCGGACUGCUCUGGAAACUGCCAGGCUGGAGUGCAGGAGAGGUAAGUGGAAUUCCGAGUGUAGCGGUGAAAUGCGUAGAUAUUAGGAGGAACACCAGUGGCGAAGGCGGCUUACUGGCCUGUAACUGACGUUGAGGCUCGAAAGCGUGGGGAGCGAACAGGAUUAGAUACCCCAGUAGUC